rnacentral:misc_RNA from 1 species
UUGGAUGUCAUUGAUGUUCAUCAUGUAAGAACCUUCAUUAGCAUGUAUCAAAAACUUUUCCCGGUGAAUUAUUUUAAUUUGUCACAUUGAAUUUUGUACAGUGUUGUAGUGUGCCAAAUGCUUGCUUUUCUUGAUGUGACUUUUAAAAUAAUAAUAAUAAAAUUCUUGCUUCUGAUUAGAAGCUGUCCUUGUAUAUCAUUGAGUUAAUUCAUGGUACUUCAAAAUAUUUAAAGAAGCCAAGUCCUCAGAAGCCAAUAUUUUUUUUUCUCUUUUAACGUUUUAUCCAUGGAGUGGCCACUUAGCCUAGGUGGUUAAGCCUUGUUAGAGCAACCGGGUUCAGAAAUUGUUCUGAAGUUGAUUCACUGACAUAUAAGCACCACACAUCUAGUAUGUUCACAUAAUUAACUUGCGAGAAAUUUGCUGUAAAAUUCUUUUCGUUUCAUUAGUCUAGCUAUCUCUAUCUAUAUGAUUCAAAGUCAAGGAGUUAUCAGUUAGAAUCCUUGUGUAUUUCUCGUGAGGGAUUACCUGUGGUGUUUUGCCUAUAGUUCUCCACAUGAUACCUGAGGUAGUUUCUAGCUGGGUCAUUGAUUUAUUGUAUUAAUAUUUUGUCAACCAGACUAUGCUGAUAUGGUACAGAGAAUUUAGAAGAAUUUGUAUUGUGACACAAGAAACUAGAUUCUAUGUUUGUAUGUGUCAUAUUAUUUUCAUCCUUAUCUGGUAGCUUUAGUCACUGAGAACUGGCGGAUAGUUUGGGUGGACUUAUAAAUGUGUAUUAACAGAUACAUAUUUAUGGCACAUCUCUUGGGGGUUUCUUAGCACAAGCUUUUGCACAGCAUCGUCCAAGACAAGUGAGAUCAUUGAUACUGUCAAAUACAUUCUUGGAGACGCAUAGUUUUGCAGCUGCAAUGCCAUGG